CCUACGGGAUGCAGCAGUAGGGAAUCUUUCACAAUGGGCGAAAGCCUGAUGGAGCAACGCCGCGUGCAGGAUGAAGGCCUUCGGGUUGGAAACUGCUUUGAUAAGCGAGAAAUAUGAUGGUAACUUAUGACUAAGGAUCGGCUAACUACGUGCCAGCAGCCGCGGUCAUACGUAGGAUCCGAGCAUUAUCCGGAGUGACUGGGUGUAAAGAGUUGCGUAGGUGGCAGAAUAAGUAGCUAGUGAAAUCUGGUGGCUAAACCAUUCAGACGAUUAGCUAAACUGUUAAGCUCGAGAGCGUUAGGGGUAACUGGAAUUUCUAGUGUAGGAGUGAAAUCCGUAGAUAUUAGAAGGAACACCAAUAGCGUAGGCAGGUUGCUGGGACGGUUCUGACACUAAGGCACGAAAGCGUAGGGAGCAAACGGGAUUAGAUACCCUAGUAGUC
rnacentral:rRNA from 1 species